UACGGAGGGAGCUAGCGUUGUUCGGAAUUACUGGGCGUAAAGCGCACGUAGGCGGCUUUGUAAGUUAGAGGUGAAAGCCCGGGGCUCAACUCCGGAACUGCCUUUAAGACUGCAUCGCUUGAAUCCAGGAGAGGUGAGUGGAAUUCCGAGUGUAGAGGUGAAAUUCGUAGGUAUUCGGAAGAACACCAGUGGCGAAGGCGGCUCACUGGACUGGUAUUGACGCUGAGGUGCGAAAGCGUGGGGAGCAAACAGG
rnacentral:rRNA from 1 species